rnacentral:rRNA from 1 species
CGCGAAACUGGGCGAGCUACUAUAAAACAUAUAUUAGUAUCAAAUAUGUGGCACAAUGAAGGAGAUCUUAUAGUAGGGGUGAUAGGCUAUCAAGUCCAGUGAUAUCUUGUUUACCUCGAGAUGUAUCGAGUACGUUGUCGGUUUAUUAGUGAUAAGGCUAAUAAAAAUUAUCUACUUGGUUUUCAUGCACCAACACAGUUUAACCGCUAGUUAGUAGCAAACUUUAACAUUAUUAUCCCCCUUUAAUAGAAUAUAGAGGCCAAUAUACAAUUUUCUGCAACUAUUUAUACUGUGGGUAUGAGUAAUCUAAGUAUCGUUGAUGAACUCGGCAAAAUUCUUUUCACCUGUUUAUCAAAAACAUCGCCAGUAGAUAGUAUUAUUGGUCCGUUCUGCUCCAUGUAUCAUAAAUAGCCGCAGUACCCUGACUGUGCAAAGGUAGCAUAAUCAUUUGGCUUAUAAUUGAAGUCUGGCAUGAAUGAAUCCAUGGGGAGAAACUCUAUUUGCGGUACCUGCUGAAUUUAUUUAUUAGGUGCAAAUCCCUAAAUCAAAACAAAAGACGAGAAGACCCUUGAAAUUUUUACCACCUGCCGAACAAAGUUUUUGUUGGGGCAACAUAGUAGCAUUAAACCUACAGUAAUGACACGACACACAGUGGCAAGAUUAAAUUACUCUAGGGAUAACAGCGUAAUUCUUAAGUGUUUGCGACCUCGAUGUUGGACUAGGGAGCCGCUGCUAAAA